GACAGAGGUGCCGAGCGUUAGGCGGAAUCACUGGGCUUAAAGCGUGUGUAGGCGGAUGCCUAAGUACCUUGUGAAAUCCCAUGGCUCAACCAUGGAACUGCUUGGCAUACUGGGUGUCUUGAGCUAUCUAGGGGCAACUGGAACAAACGGUGGAGCGGUGAAAUGCGUAGAUAUCGUUUGGAACGCCAAUGGUGAAAACAGGUUGCUGGGGAUAUGCUGACGCUGAGACACGAAAGCCAGGGGAGCAAACGGG
rnacentral:rRNA from 1 species